rnacentral:rRNA from 1 species
AAGUGGAGCAAUCCAUGAGUAAAGUGGCGACCGGGUGAGUAACACGUGGGUAACCUACCCGGAGGUGGGGGAUAACCCUUCGAAAGGAGGGCUAAUACCGCAUGACAUCGCGAGGGCCUCGGCCCUUGCGAUCAAAGCUGGCCUCUGUUUACAAGCUAGCGCCACUGGAGGGGCCCGCGCCCCAUUAGCUAGUUGGUGAGGUAACGGCUCACCAAGGCAACGAUGGGUAGCCGGCCUGAGAGGGCGACCGGCCACACUGGAACUGCGACACGGUCCAGACUCCUACGGGAGGCAGCAGUGAGGAAUCUUGCGCAAUGGGCGAAAGCCUGACGCAGCGACGCCGCGUGAAGGAUGAAGGUCUUCGGA